rnacentral:rRNA from 1 species
CCUACGGGUGGCAGCAGUAGGGAAUCUUGCGCAAUGGGCGAAAGACUGACGCAGCAACGCCGCGUGAUUGACUAAGGCCUUCGGGGCGUAAAGAUCUGUCAGUGGGGACGAAACUUGACGUUACUCACAGAGGAAGCACUGGCUAACUCUGUGCAAGCAGCCGCGGCAAUCCGGAGGCUGCAAGCGUUGUUCGGAUUCAUUGGGCGUAAAGAGUUCGUAGGUGGUGUAUUAAGUCUGAUGGUAAAGGCUGAAGCUCAACUUCUGUGCGGCACGGGAUACUGGUAAACUUGAGUGCGGUAGAGGAGAGGGGAAUUCCUGGUGUAGCGGUGAAAUGCGUAGAUAUCAGGAGGAACAUCGGUGGCGAAGGCGCUUCUCUGGUCCGUAACUGACGCUGAGGAGCGAAAGCCUGGGUAGCAAAUGGGAUUAGAUACCCCGGUAGUC